rnacentral:rRNA from 1 species
UACGAAGGGGGCUAGCGUUGCUCGGAUUGACUGGGCGUAAAGGGCGCGUAGGCGGUUCGUACAGUCAGACGUGAAAUUCCUGGGCUCAACCUGGGGGCUGCGUUUGAUACGUGCGGACUUGAGUGCGGAAGAGGGUCGUGGAAUUCCCAGUGUAGAGGUGAAAUUCGUAGAUAUUGGGAAGAACACCGGUGGCGAAGGCGGCUCACUGGCCCGAUACUGACGCUGAGGCACGAAAGCGUGGGGAGCAAACAGG